GACGAACGCUGGCGGCGUGCUUAACACAUGCAAGUCGAACGGAAAGGCCCUGCUUUUGUGGGGUGCUCGAGUGGCGGACGGGUGAGUAACACGUGGAUAACCUACCUAUAAGACUGGGAUAACUUCGGGAAACCGGAGCUAAUACCGGAUAAUAUUUUGAACCGCAUGGUUCAAAAGUGAAAGACGGUCUUGCUGUCACUUAUAGAUGGAUCCGCGCUGCAUUAGCUAGUUGGUAAGGUAACGGCUUACCAAGGCAACGAUGCAUAGCCGACCUGAGAGGGUGAUCGGCCACACUGGAACUGAGACACGGUCCAGACUCCUACGGGAGGCAGCAGUAGGGAAUCUUCCGCAAUGGGCGAAAGCCUGACGGAGCAACGCCGCGUGAGUGAUGAAGGUCUUCGGAUCGUAAAACUCUGUUAUUAGGGAAGAACAUAUGUGUAAGUAACUGUGCACAUCUUGACGGUACCUAAUCAGAAAGCCACGGCUAACUACGUG
rnacentral:rRNA from 1 species